rnacentral:rRNA from 1 species
GUGGGGAAUCUUCCGCAAUGGACGAAAGUCUGACGGAGCGACGCCGCGUGAGUGAAGAAGGCCUUCGGGUCGUAAAGCUCUGUCAUCAGGGACGAACGGCCGGUGGAGUGGAAAGCCACCGGAUUGACGGUACCUGAGAAGGAAGCCACGGCUAACUACGUGCCAGCAGCCGCGGUAAUACGUAGGUGGCAAGCGUUGUCCGGAAUUAUUGGGCGUAAAGCGCGCGCAGGUGGGAUCUUAAGUCCAUUUUUAAAGUUCGGAGCUCAACUCCGUGAUGGGAUGGAAACUGGGAUUCUUGAGUACCGGAGAGGAAAGCGGAAUUCCCCGUGUAGCGGUGAAAUGCGUAGAUAUGGGGAGGAACACCAGUGGCGAAGGCGGCUCACUGGCUCGAUACUGACGCUGAGGUGCGAAAGCGUGGGGAGCAAACAGGAUUAGAUACCCCAGUAGUCC